rnacentral:lncRNA from 1 species
CCUCAGAGAAGGUCUGCUAGACUAUCAGCGGUAAGUUAUUUUGUUAUUAAAGAGAUUUUUACCAUUAUAUCAUUAUUUUGUUUUUAAAACUUUUCUGAUCUCAAAAGACUUGAGGAACUUUAAAUAUAGCUUGGAAAUAGUUUUUAGCACUUCUUGUGUUAAUUGACUAUUUAAAUCCUACAACCAACACUUGUUGGAUUUCAACCUACCGCUGAUCUCAGAGCAACAAGGUCAGAAAACAUAAUAUCUGCGCAAGUCAUUUUUUUUUUCCAGCAUAAGUUUUGCCAGUCAUUUAAGAAGAUGUGCUGACUUCAGGAUAGAGCAGAACAACAUAGGCCAUUCUGUGCAUUAUUUCAACUAUUUAUUUGAACGUGUAUUGUUUAGAUAUCCUUUUAUAUAUCAAAAAGUACGUUUGUGAAUGAAUCCCUUCAGAAACCAACAACUCCGAAACCUGAACCCAAACCGAAAAAAACUCCCAAGAAAGAGAAGGAAGUGAACGAUAAAAAGGAAGACAAGAAGGCAAAGGCAAAGGCUGAGGAGUCCAAGGAGGAGAACCAAUCAGAAAAUGGGGAGACUAAGACCAAUGAGGUUGAGAAAACUCCAGAUGAGGCGGCAGAGGCCGAGGAGGACCCGAAGACAGAGUAGCACCACGCCUGUCCAUCCAUCCGUCCAUCCUUUCCCUUUCCCCUCUUUCCUUUAUCUUCCUCUCUCUUUCCCAAUACUCUCUCUCCCUCUCCAGCUCUCUCAGCAACCUCCUCUCUGCCCAUCACCACCAGAGGAAUAUUUUUAUCAGCGAAUUUGUAAAUACUGGUUCAGGUUUUUAGCACAAAAAACAAAGCUGACUAAACGAGUCUUGUGUUCGGCCGCAGCUGUAUCAGGUGUCUACAACACGAGAGGUGUGGAAAAAGGCGGCGUCUUUCUUUCGUUUUGUUGAUUUUCUGUUUUUAUCUCUUCUUUCUUUUUUUUCAAGCGGAUGGUCUGUAGCUUGGUUUUGGAGUGGGAGGUGGGAGGAGGCUCUCAGUCUGUAUGUCCGUUAGUGCUCGUGAUGUUGCUCUGGAGUCUGUGAUGUUUCUGUAUGGGGUUUGUUUUAUUUUUCUUUUAAACGUAAUUGAUUGUCUUUAAGAAAGAGGAACGAGUUCAACAAAUGUAGAAGAAAAGCGAGAAAACAACUAAAGACAAACUGCUUACAUUCCAGGUUCAGCAUUAGAUGGUGACUCCUGGCUUUUUAAGAAUCAUACCACCUUUGCAAUUUGUUGAAACAUAACUGGGCUUCGUUAGGAGGCCGGAAAAAACCCUUCUGUUGUUAUAGAGGACUUUUUUGAAAUGACGGGAUUCAAAGAAAACGAAUUUAAAGCGUUUUUUGGAAUUUUUUUAACACUGAAAUUUCAUCUGUGAAAAAGUACUUGGUGUCCCCUAAUAAUGCUCUCGGUCUCACUCAAUAAAAAUCCAUCAUUGGAAUUUUCCUCAU